AUGUUCCAUGAGCAGAACUGUGGAAGGGUACUUGACAAGGAGAAGUUUGAGAAGGAGUUGGCCAAGCUGAAGUGUGAACAUGAAAGGGAGUUGGUCAAGCUUAAGAUGAAAAAUGACAAGCUUUGCAUUGAGUACACCAAGCUUGUUGAUGAUGUAUCCAAGAUGUUUGAUUGGCAGGAUGGUAGGGUGGACAAGGUGUACCAGAAACAAGUGGAGGAGGAAGAACUUGAGAAGAAGAAGAUGGAGCUAGAGGAGAAAGCUAUGUUGGAGGUGCAGAUGGAAAAGCUCAAACUUGCAAAAGAGCAGAGGUGCAUUUUGCAGAGCCAAGCUGAUAUCAUCAAGAACACCAGGAAGGCUAUGAAGGAUGUUGAAGUUGACAGAGAUGUUCUUAAGAAGGAGAAGGAAAAGCUUGAGCUUGUUGUUGCUGAGCUGCUGAAAGAUGGGUAUGGCAGCAAGGAGAAGUUAGAGCAAAUCAAGGCCAUCCUUGAGUCUUGA
rnacentral:rRNA from 1 species